rnacentral:rRNA from 1 species
UACGAAGGGGGCUAGCGUUGCUCGGAAUCACUGGGCGUAAAGGGUGCGUAGGCGGGUCUUUAAAUCAGGGGUGAAAUCCUGGAGCUCAACUCCAGAACUGCCUUUGAUACUGAGGAUCUUGAGUUCGGGAGAGGUGAGUGGAACUGCGAGUGUAGAGGUGAAAUUCGUAGAUAUUCGCAAGAACACCAGUGGCGAAGGCGGCUCACUGGCCCGGUACUGACGCUGAGGUGCGAAAGCGUGGGGAGCAAACAGG